UAGAGUUUGAUCCUGGCUCAGAUUGAAGGCUGGCGGCAGGCUUAACACAUGCAAGUCGAGCGGAGAUGAGGUGCUUGCACCUUAUCUUAGCGGCGGACGGGUGAGUAAUGCUUAGGAAUCUGCCUAUUAGUGGGGGACAACAUUCCGAAAGGGAUGCUAAUACCGCAUACGUCCUACGGGAGAAAGCAGGGGAUCUUCGGACCUUGCGCUAAUAGAUGAGCCUAAGUCGGAUUAGCUAGUUGGUGGGGUAAAGGCCUACCAAGGCGACGAUCUGUAGCGGGUCUGAGAGGAUGAUCCGCCACACUGGGACUGAGACACGGCCCAGACUCCUACGGGAGGCAGCAGUGGGGAAUAUUGGACAAUGGGGGGAACCCUGAUCCAGCCAUGCCGCGUGUGUGAAGAAGGCCUUAUGGUUGUAAAGCACUUUAAGUGAGGAGGAGGCUACUGAGACUAAUACUCUUGGAUAGUGGACGUUACUCGCAGAAUAAGCACCGGCUAACUCUGUGCCAGCAGCCGCGGUAAUACAGAGGGUGCGAGCGUUAAUCGGAUUUACUGGGCGUAAAGCGUGCGUAGGCGGCUUUUUAAGUCGGAUGUGAAAUCCCCGAGCUUAACUUGGGAAUUGCAUUCGAUACUGGGAAGCUAGAGUAUGGGAGAGGAUGGUAGAAUUCCAGGUGUAGCGGUGAAAUGCGUAGAGAUCUGGAGGAAUACCGAUGGCGAAGGCAGCCAUCUGGCCUAAUACUGACGCUGAGGUACGAAAGCAUGGGGAGCAAACAGGAUUAGAUACCCUGGUAGUCCAUGCCGUAAACGAUGUCUACUAGCCGUU
rnacentral:rRNA from 1 species